GGAAUAUUGGUCAAUGGGCGAAAGCCUGAACCAGCCAAGUAGCGUGCAGGACGACGGCCCUAUGGGUUGUAAACUGCUUUUAUAGGGGAAUAAAGUUAUCCACGUGUGGAUAUUUGCAUGUACCCUAAGAAUAAGGACCGGCUAAUUCCGUGCCAGCAGCCGCGGUAAUACGGAAGGUCCGGGCGUUAUCCGGAUUUAUUGGGUUUAAAGGGAGCGUAGGCGGUAUAUUAAGCGUGUUGUGAAAUGUAGGUGCUCAACAUCUGACUUGCAGCGCGAACUGGUUUACUUGAGUACGCACAACGUAGGCGGAAUUCGUCGUGUAGCGGUGAAAUGCUUAGAUAUGACGAAGAACUCCGAUUGCGAAGGCAGCUUACGGGAGCGCCACUGACGCUGAAGCUCGAAAGUGCGGGUAUCGAACA
rnacentral:rRNA from 1 species